rnacentral:piRNA from 1 species
UUUGUAAAAAAUUAUGUUUUU